rnacentral:misc_RNA from 1 species
GGGUGUAUCAUCAAAAUUCAAUUGAUUACAAGAAUAUAUGAAAGAAUUGAUAACUCUAAAUUGUUUACAAUAAAAUUCAUGUGUUUGUAACUUAUAAUACAACAGCUCGUAUUCGUAUUGCAUAACAACUCUAUUGUUGUUGUCUACCUAAAACCUCUCCAUCCACAUAUCCUUCUCUCCAAGCGAAACAAUCCCAUGAAGCACAUUUUGGAGAGAGAAGAAAAGAGAGACUACAACAACACUGUUUCUUCUCCAUAUUACACUGAAUGACUGUAAAUGCUCUCCACCACAAUAUCUGCUGCUACAAAUGACAGUUCAAGUAGCUUCAUCUUGGAAGAAGUGGCUGCCUUUCAUCAGGUCCUACUCGAUGACUUGCCUCCUCAUUUGCUCCUGCUGCCAUAUUUACAAAGGAUGAAUCUUUAGGGCUAUGGUUCUCCCGGACGUCAAUCAACUCCACUGUCCCGUUUUGUUGAUCAUCUUUAACUUUUGAAAGAGGUGAAAAGAACUGAUGCAUUGAAAUGAAAACAACAGAAAUCCCAAGAAGAAAGUUUACGGUCAGUGUAUGACCAAACAGCAGAGCAGAUGCUAUGCCUGUAAAUAUUGUUGCAACGGUCGAAGAAUACUUCUUCAGAAUUGUAUCAGCAUAUUUGAAAAAAAAGGACGACAGAAUUCCUUGCGCUGCAUUGUUAACAAUUAGAAGCAUGGUUGCCUUCGAAUGCCCCUGAAAAAUAUCCAAGCUACCAGGACCUUUAAAUACAGCAAUCCCAAGAAUGGCUAGAAAGUUGAAUAUAGCACCAUAACCAUAGAGAAAUAAGUUCUGGAGAUAUAUGCUAGUGUCAUAUUGACUCUUCAAAGCAUACUCAUUGAAUACUGAGGCCAUAGAAGGCACAGUUACAAAAAUCAGUGUAUAGAUGUAGGCAAUUGUGGUAACUGGAAGAGCCAAAGAAGUGGUGCCUUCAGGAAGGGAUCGAAGUUGAUUAAUGCUUAUCCCAAUUAGCAGCAAAGCAAGAGCCUCCCACUGAAUUACGGAAAAUCGCCUUUUCAUGAUAAAUUUCAACAGCACUGCAAUAACCAAAACCUUCAGAUUGCUUAG